AUUGAACGCUGGCGGCAGGCCUAACACAUGCAAGUCGAGCGAGCGGCGGACGGGUGAGUAAUGUCUGGGAAACUGCCCGAUGGAGGGCGAUAACUACUGGAAACGGUAGCUAAUACCGCAUACCAUCAGAUGUGCCCAGAUGGGAUUAGCUAGUAGGUGGGGGAACGUCUCACCUAGGCGACGAUCCCUAGCUGGGCUGAGAGGCUGACCAGCAACACAGGAACUGAGACGCGGUCCAGACUCCGACGUGGGGCAGCAGUGGGGAAUAGUGGACAAAGGGAGCAAGCCUGAUGCAGCCAUUCAGCUUGUGUGAAGAAGGCCUGUGGGUUGUAAAGCACUUUCAGCGGGGAGGGGUGACCCGCAGAAGGAGCACCGGCUGACUCCGUGCCAGCAGCGGGGGUAAUAC
rnacentral:rRNA from 1 species